CUACGGGACGCUCCAGUGAGGAAUAUUGCACAAUGGAGGAAACUCUGAUGCAGCAACGCUGCGUGGAGGAUGACGCAUUUCGGUGUGUAAACUCCUUUUAUAUGUCAAGAAAAUGACGGUAGCAUAUGAAUAAGCACCGGCUAACUCCGUGCCAGCAGCCGCGGUAAUACGGAGGGUGCAAGCGUUACUCGGAAUCACUGGGCGUAAAGGACGCGUAGGCGGGAUAUCAAGUCAGGUGUGAAAUCCUACAGCUUAACUGUAGAACUGCACUUGAAACUGGUAACCUAGAGUAUGGGAGGGGGAGAUGGAAUUAGUGGUGUAGGGGUAAAAUCCGUAGAUAUCACUAGGAAUACCUAAAGCGAAGGCGAUCUCCUGGAACAUUACUGACGCUAAGGCGUGAAAGCGUGGGGAGCAAACAGGAUUAGAUACCCCGGUAGUC
rnacentral:rRNA from 1 species